ensembl:lncRNA
ACACAAACUCACACUCUGAUGAUUAAGGUUACUUGUUAUUGACAGCACAGAGGGUUAUCCUGGCUCAGCCUCCUAUGACUGGAUUGACUCGAUGUCAGCAAUAAUGUUCACCGUGCACAUUUUCAACAUAAUCUCCAAGCAAAUUUUGAUCAUUUCUUCUUUUAUUUCUUUGUAUUUCAGGAAUGUCCAGAGUUAUCCUCCCACUGCUGCGAGGGUUCACUGCCCCUAUGAAUCAGACACAGCACACAGGCAAAAAAAAUAACGUUGCCAUCCCAACAGCUUGCAGUCAAAAUCAGAGAAGAGAAAAAGCAGAGUGAUAAAACAAACAGAAGAGAAAAGGCAGUUCAAUUGGUAACGUAGCAAUGUUAGGUGAUGUUCCAUAACCCCGAUCUGUAAGGACAGCUCCUGCCCUCACUGCGCAGCCAUUCAGCUCUGAUACCUGUUGAAGCUCCAGAGGCAAAUCAUCUGAACUGUUGGGUUUUUUUGUUGUUGUUUUGACAAAACCGUGCCUUCAGUCUGCUCCUCGUUUUCCUUUUGAAUUGUCGAAGAUGGAGAUUUCACCUUCCCUUUGAGAGCUGAUUCCAGUGGUUACUCAAUUCAUGUG